rnacentral:rRNA from 1 species
CAAAUCUUGACAUCCUUUGACCGCUCUAGAGAUAGAGUCUUCCCCUUCGGGGGACAAAGUGACAGGUGGUGCAUGGUUGUCGUCAGCUCGUGUCGUGAGAUGUUGGGUUAAGUCCCGCAACGAGCGCAACCCUUAAGCUUAGUUGCCAGCAUUAAGUUGGGCACUCUAAGUUGACUGCCGGUGACAAACCGGAGGAAGGUGGGGAUGACGUCAAAUCAUCAUGCCCCUUAUGAUUUGGGCUACACACGUGCUACAAUGGACAGUACAAAGGGCAGCGAAACCGCGAGGUCAAGCAAAUCCCAUAAAGCUGUUCUCAGUUCGGAUUGUAGUCUGCAACUCGACUACAUGAAGCUGGAAUCGCUAGUAAUCGUAGAUCAGCAUGCUACGGUGAAUACGUUCCC